AUGCAACAGAAGGUUGCAAAGGAAAAAGAGCGUUGGAGACAGGUAUUGCUCAGGAUAGUUUCUUUAGUGAAGUUUCUUGCAAAACGUAAUUUGGGAUUUCGAGGAACAAAUGAGAAGCUGUUUGAACAUAAUAAUGGCAAUUUUUUGGGCUCAGUUGAAAUGAUUGCUGAAUUUGAUCCUGUGAUGCAAGAACAUAUUAGGCGCAUUCAAAACAAGGAAAUACAUCAUCAUUAUCUUGGCCAUGGUAUUCAGGAUGAGUUGAUCUUACUUCUUGCUGAUUCCGUCAAAAAGUUUAUCUUAAAGACCAUCAAGGAUGCCAAGUAUUUCUCUGUUAUAUUGGACUGUACUCUAGAUGUGAGCCAUGAAGAACAAAUGACGCUAAUUGUGCGUUGUGUGAAUAUGUCAAGGCAAGGUUAUGACAAUGGUUCUAACAUGAAGGGAAAAAAUCAAGAUAAUGUUCCAGGUCUGACUCUCAAACCUUUGUCUGAUACUCGUUGGGAGAGCCGAAUAAAGAGUGUGCAACCUAUAAGGUACCAAAAUUCCCAAGUAAGAUCAGCUUUGAAGGAGUUGGAGAAGACUGCUAGGGAGGAUAAUGAUCCAGCUACAGUAAGUGAUGCUCAAUCUUUGUUCAAAGCACUUGGGAAAUUUGAGACUUUAGUUGGUAUGAUUAUUUGGCAUGACAUACUAUUUUCUAUUAAUAUGGUGAGCAAAAUGUUACAAGAAAAAAUGGUGUGCAUCGAUGCUACUCUAAAACACAUUGAUGGGGUCAAGUCAUAUUUUCAGAAGUAUAGAGAUGAAGGCUUCAAUUCUAGUAUUGAAAGUGCCAAAGCCAUUGCGUUGGAUAUG
rnacentral:rRNA from 1 species